rnacentral:tRNA from 1 species
ACCUGGGUGGCUCAGUCGGUUGAGUGUCCGACUUCAGCUUGGGUCAAGAUCUCGCGGUUCGUAGGUUCGAGUCCUGUGUCAGGCU